UACGGGGGAUGCAAGCGUUAUCCGGAAUUAUUGGGCGUAAAGCGUCCGCAGGUGGUUUGUCAAGUCUGCUGUUAAAGCGUGGAGCUUAACUCCAUAUCGGCGGUGGAAACUGAUGAACUAGAGGGUGGUAGGGGUCACGGGAAUUCCCAGUGUUGCGGUGAAAUGCGUAGAUAUUGGGAAGAACACCAGCGGCGAAAGCGCGUGAUUGUGCCAUUACUGACACUCAUGGACGAAAGCUAGGGGAGCGAAAGGG
rnacentral:rRNA from 1 species